rnacentral:rRNA from 1 species
GAGGAAGAAAGCAGGGGACCAUUUGGCCUUGCGCUGUUUGAGCGGCCGAUAUCUGAUUAGCUAGUUGGUGGGGUAAAGGCCUACCAAGGCGACGAUCAGUAGCGGGUCUGAGAGGAUGAUCCGCCACACUGGGACUGAGACACGGCCCAGACUCCUACGGGAGGCAGCAGUGGGGAAUUUUGGACAAUGGGCGCAAGCCUGAUCCAGCCACGCCGCGUGUCUGAAGAAGGCCUUCGGGUUGUAAAGGACUUUUGUCAGGGAAGAAAAGGGCGGGGUUAAUACCCCUGUCUGAUGACGGUACCUGAAGAAUAAGCACCGGCUAACUACGUGCCAGC